GCCUUUACACAUUUUAGAGAUUAAGGUAAUGAUAGCGAUUUUAGGGGUGAUAUCGGAUUUCAGUGUGGUGAUCAGAAAUAUGCAUGGGGGCAGUGCGAUUUAACGAACUGUGAUGUCUACCAUAUAAGGGAUAACGAUUAUUCUGAUGUUCGUGAUUUCUCUUCCCCUUCUCCAGUGUUCGAGUUUUAAAGUGAUUGUUUGAGGACUUUGAUCGAUGGAGUUUGGUGGUGAUGAUAAGGGACUCUAGUAAAAAAAGAAGUUGCAGGUAGUAGGUAGCUGCUAGUUUACAAAGUUGAAAGAGGUCACAAAGAAGCUGAAGUAUUCAACUUAUGUCUGCACAUUCUCUGGUAAAAAAGAAUAAAGUAUCACAUCAACGAAUCAUAGUCCUCUAAGUGUCUGAAAAUGACUGUUCAAUUAGAACUAUUUGGAAGGAUACAAAAGUUGUAGAUGCAGGUAGGGUUAAGACACAGUGUUACUGCAUGCUUUAUUAAUUAGGUGCAGGUGAUGGUGGUUUUUCUGAAGCUCUUGUUAGGCUGACAAGCGUGCACGCCCCAAAUAUUACACUUCUUGUGUGUUGCAGUGUGCCAAGUUGCCAACAUUAACCAGUCUGCAUUGUGAUUGACUUGGUAUAUGGAGCGGGACAGGACGGAUGAUCCUUGUCCUUGUCAAACUAUCUUAUUUAGUGUACCCGUUUAAUUAAA